GUAAGAAUCUUAACCUUGUUUAUAUGUAUAUAUUCGUGCAUUAUUAUUAUAUGAUCAAGUUGAUGUGAUCGAUGAGGACUCGGAUAUAUAGGCACAGCGGAGAAUGUGAGAUUGUUCAUUUUGGCUUCUGUGCUUGUAGUCAUCCAUCAGUUUCAGCAUGACAGCUUGGUUCUUCUUGAUGUAAUAGAAUGUUCAGCUUUAUUUUCUGAUACCAUUUCAUGCUGGAUUCCAAAGGCAUCAAGAAUGCCAGUCUGACGCAAUUUAUUCUCCUGCCGUGGAAACAUUCUUGUAUCAAGUGCCUGAAUAACGAGGUUGUUCCUGGAGUAUUGUCCUCCUGAACUUGGAACUUGCUCUUUCCAGCGAGGAACUUGUUUGAUGCCCCCGAGUCAUCAACUUGUCCAGAACACGUCUUCUUUCAUUUCUUUCAGUGAAAUGUUGGUGCUUUUUGCUCUUUUCGCUGACCCCUUGUAUCCUUCGUCUUCAGGGACUGCUAAAGACCAAGCAGCGAAUGACCUCAAUAGUUGCAAGAAUGUUCGUGAAAAUGACUCCUGAUGGUCCUGGUGAGAUUUGAGACAAAGGUCUGGCUUCGAUCACAAUCUUUUCUUGCAGGUCUAACAGGACACAGAUCCGGGCUUGUAUUCGUCACUGUAUCCCAGAGAAGAAAACCAAGAUUCCGGAGGGAGUCAUCAGCAUUUCUUUGCAGCAGCAGUCUUCAGAGUGGUUGGGAUGCAGACUUCGAUGACAAAUGGCCUUCUUAACCACACACUCUCCCUGCCAAAGCAGAAUAAUGAAGCAGGAAACAAAGGAUCCAAUUAUCCUGAAACAUUUAUUUCAGGAAUGCAACAAAUCGACAUAUGAUGGAGGGAAGAAAUGAAUCAUUAACGUUGGAGAAAUCAGUGCCACCACAUCUACGAUUGGCUUGCAAACUUGGUACUAUCUCUCUCUCUCUCUCUCUCUCUCUUACCUUUGAUGGCAGAUCAAAAGUACCUCUAUACUAGAGUGUAUGUUAAGAGUUUCUGAAAGUACAGAUAUUAAUCCGAAGAAAAGGAACCAUUUGAUUGUUGUUUCCAUGUAUAAUAUAUUUCUCUCACAUAUUGUUAUUUC